GUACACGAUGAGGCGAUCACCGAGGAGUUGAUCGAGAUCGAGGAUGAUCUAGAUGUAAGUGUUUUAUACCCAGCAACCUACUGAGAGGUAUCUGGAGGUAGUAGAUUGGUUGGUGGGGAUCAUCGAAUCUGGAACUCGAAGGUAAAAGCGAGGACCAAGACAAAUUUAUACAGGUUUAGGCCGCCAAAGUAGCGUAAUACCCUGCAUCCUAUUUUGGGGUGUUGUAUAUUGCGCCCUGCACUUGGGUGUUAUCUGGUAUUGAGGAUUUGAUCCUCUGUUGUGGUUCUAUGAGGUCUUAGCCUACCGAUCUAGGGACCCCUACCCUCCUUUAUAUACUCCAGGGGGUGGGAUUACUAGUCAGUUACACAGAGGAGUCCUAGUAGGAUACAGGGUUUGAGACCUAGUAGGAUUAUAGGGGAAUCCUAGUAGGAGUCCACCUUCUUUCUUCCUUUCGGGUAUUGGGAUCUAUCCCCGACAAGCCCCUGAGUGCUUCAUAGUCGAAUGUAGCAGUCUUCGAGUACGUUUUAGAUCCUCACCGAGUAGUAUUAGUGCUCCUCGAGUGUUUUGUCUAGCUGAAUCUUCAAAGUUCUUCAAAGUUGCCAUGAGGCUAUGGUGUGCUCAAGCCCUGAUAGUCUUGAUUUUGUAAUCUUCAUCUUCAGAUUGUGAUAUGGAGAGCGGCGAAAGUCGAACUACAUAUGGAGUAGCCCCCGAGCCUUAGGUUGAAUUGAAGAAUCAGGUUGAGGGUUAAUAAAAUCUUGAAUGUUCUUCUUUCAUCUUGAAAAAAUCAACUGUUGGGUGUAGCUUAUCAGCCUCCGAGCCUUGGAAUGAUUAAAAAAAAUCAAUUUGAGGGUCUUUAGUCUUCACGCCAGUCGUCUUUUGAGUAGUUUUGCAGCGUCCAUCCCCCGAGCUUAUGCGCCAGUUGAGCCGUAGAAGCCAUGUUGAGUAGUUAUUUGGUACUUAGCCCCUGAGCUUGGAAGCUAGGUUAGCCAUUGGAGAUAUUCCGAGUAGUAAUUCACGCUUAGCCCUCGAGCCUGGGAGCUAGCGGAGCCAUUGGAGGUACGCUGAGCGUCCUGGAUAUUCAUCACCGAAGCUUGACCAGCAAAAAGACAUGCAUACAUUAUGUAGCAUAUUUGUAGAAUUUGGAACUACUGAAAUUUAUUCAGUGAUGAAUAUAAUGUAAAUGUUGUGUGUCAUGCUUUUGUUUCGACCAUAUUUUGCCGAGUAGUUAGCCUAUUACGUUUAGGCCCUCAAUCCCUG
rnacentral:lncRNA from 1 species